GACGUAGGGCGCGAGCGUUGUCCGGAAUUAUUGGGCGUAAAGAGCUCGUAGGCGGUCUGUCACGUCUGCCGUGAAAACCCGAGGCUUAACCUCGUGGCUUGCGGUGGAUACGGGCAGACUAGAGGUAGGUAGGGGAGAACGGAAUUCCCGGUGUAGCGGUGAAAUGCGCAGAUAUCGGGAGGAACACCGGUGGCGAAGGCGGUUCUCUGGGCCUUACCUGACGCUGAGGAGCGAAAGCAUGGGGAGCGAACAGG
rnacentral:rRNA from 1 species